rnacentral:tRNA from 1 species
GUGGGUGGGCCGCGCUUCAAAUCUGGGGGGGGGGGUGCGCCC